AUUGAACGCUGGCGGCAGGCCUAACACAUGCAAGUCGAGCGGAUGAAGGGAGCUUGCUCCUGGAUUCAGCGGCGGACGGGUGAGUAAUGCCUAGGAAUCUGCCUGGUAGUGGGGGAUAACGUCCGGAAACGGGCGCUAAUACCGCAUACGUCCUGAGGGAGAAAGUGGGGGAUCUUCGGACCUCACGCUAUCAGAUGAGCCUAGGCCGGAUUAGCUAGUUGGUGGGGUAAAGGCCUACCAAGGCGACGAUCCGUAACUGGUCUGAGAGGAUGAUCAGUCACACUGGAACUGAGACACGGUCCAGACUCCUACGGGAGGCAGCAGUGGGGAAUAUUGGACGAUGGGCGAAAGCCUGAUCCAGCCAUGCCGCGUGUGUGAAGAAGGUCUUCGGAUUGUAAAGCACUUUAAGUUGGGAGGAAGGGCAGUAAGUUAAUACCUUGCUGUUUUGACGUUACCAACAGAAGAAGCACCGGCUAACUUCGUG
rnacentral:rRNA from 1 species